GGUCCCUCUAGUUGUGGCAUGUGGGACGCCGCCCCAGCGCAGCUCGACGAGCAGCGCCAUGACCGCGCCCAGGACUCGAACCAACGAAACACUGGGCCGCCUGCAGCGGAGGGCGCGAACCCAACCACUUGGCCAAAGGGCCAGCCCAGUGGCUGCACCAAUUUACAUUCCCAGCAAAAGUGCACGAGUGUUCCUUUUUCUCCACAUCCUCAGCAACACGUCUUUUUGAUAACGGCCAUCCUAACAGCCUUUCUGAAGACCUUGAUUUGUAUUUUAAGCAGUAACUGCACUCUAGCAAGCAGCUAGUUGUCAGCGUUAUCUUCAUUUCUGCAAGACAGACCAGAUUCUUGGAGACAUAAGUGUCUUACCUCCUGGCCAGACCUGGCCACUUAGCCUGCGGAAGCGUCGGGACUCCUGACCGGAAUAGAAGUGAACAGGAAAGUGCAUCAGCUCUGAAAACAAUCCCAAGUUAAAGGAUCCGAGAGUUCAAAGUUCGAGAGCAACUCCCUCAAGGAAGGUGGGCACAAACUAUUGUCUACAAUGCGGACCAAAAAGACUCGUUUGCAAACAAGAGCGUUUUCUCUAAAAAAAAAAAAAGUGAAAGAAAGAUGUUAAAACUAG
rnacentral:lncRNA from 1 species